UACAGAGGUCUCAAGCGUUGUUCGGAUUCAUUGGGCGUAAAGGGUGCGUAGGUGGCGCCGUAAGUCAGGUGUGAAAUUUCGGAGCUUAACUCCGAAACUGCAUUUGAUACUGCGGUGCUUGAGGACUGGAGAGGAGACUGGAAUUUACGGUGUAGCAGUGAAAUGCGUAGAGAUCGAUAAGGAAGACCAGUGGCGAAGGCGGGUCUCUGGACAGUUCCUGACACUGAGGCACGAAGGCCAGGGGAGCAAACGGG
rnacentral:rRNA from 1 species